rnacentral:tRNA from 1 species
GGAGAGGUGUCCGAGCGGUCGAUGGUGCUUGCUUGGAAGGCAAGUGUACCCACAAGGUACCGAGAGUUCAAAUCUCUCCCUCUCCG